UACGGGGGGGGGCAAGCGUUGUUCGGAAUUACUGGGCGUAAAGGGUUCGUAGGUGGCUCGCUAAGUCACACGUGAAAUCCCUCAGCUUAACUGGGGAACUGCGUGUGAGACUGGCAAGCUCGAGUGCAGGAGAGGAAUGCGGAAUUCCAGGUGUAGCGGUGAAAUGCGUAGAUAUCUGGAGGAACACCGGUGGCGAAGGCGGCAUUCUGGACUGCAACUGACACUGAGGAACGAAAGCCAGGGGGGGCAAACGGG
rnacentral:rRNA from 1 species